UACCCAGAUCUACUCUGACUGUGACUCCAGACAGUCCUGUAUUCACUGGAGAGAGAGUGAGUCUGACGUGUGUGAUUGAGUCUAAUCAUACUGAGUGGAGAUAUGAGUGGUAUAAAGGAGGAAACAACAGUUCUCAGCAGCUUCAUCUUCUCUUCUGGUCACUGGUGUGGUUGUGGGAUCGAGUGUUUGUCUGUUGUUCUUCCUCUCACUGCUGCUGAUGUGGAGAUACAAGAAGAACAAAGAUCAGCAGCGUAACAUUAACCAGACAUCAGUCCCAAAUCAAUCUGCACAAUCUCAACUGGAGAAUUCUCCUCUACAGUCUGAUCAGCCUCAGUAACUAAUUAUUAAAAGGCAUAGUUAACAUAUAAAACAUGAAUUAAUAACCUAAACCCAAAUCUACAUCUGUGGAACACACACACACAGAAAAUUGUAUCAGGUUUUAUUUUUUCAAUAUCAAUGGGGUCCAAUGUUUUAUAAGCAAACUUGUUUAACACAGCUCUAGGUGAAAAUGCUGUAAAUUUAUUGCUACAUUAUAUAAUCACUGUGCAUCACCAAUAGAGUAA